UCUCUGAAGGACACCUGGUGGAUCCAACUCCCGUGGUUCCAGUUCACCAAAUGAAUGCAAAGAUAAGGUGGACUCAGUCUCCUUGACUUCAAGAAGUGGAACUGGUUCAUUCAACAAACACUCUUGAUAUUGAUGUCAGUGACAAGAGUGAAAUUUCCUUCAGUGAAGUCAUAUUCACUGCAUUUUCUAUGCCAGUUCAUCCAUGGACACAUGAGGAAUUACUAUUAUCAUUUAAAAAUUAGAUUUAAUUAAACAACUCAUUUGUUGUG